rnacentral:rRNA from 1 species
UACGUAGGGUGCGAGCGUUGUCCGGAAUCACUGGGCGUAAAGGGCGCGUAGGUGGCCCGUUAAGUGGUCGGUGAAGUCCCGCGGCUCAACUGCGGGGCUGCCGAUCAGACUGGCGAGCUAGAGCACGGUAGGGGCAGAUGGAAUUCCCGGUGUAGCGGUGGAAUGCGUAGAGAUCGGGAAGAAUACCAGCGGCGAAGGCGUUCUGCUGGGCCGUUGCUGACACUGAGGCGCGACAGCGUGGGGAGCAAACAGG